rnacentral:lncRNA from 1 species
CUUAAAUUGAACUUGAGGAAAACAGAUUCCUUUCGUCACUAAAAGGCUAUUCUUUUGUCUCCGAAAUUUUAGACCUUAUUUAUUGCCAUGAUAUUAUGGUAAAUGAGGAUCAUCAUUGUUUCAACCCCUCAUUUCCUUGUCCCUCGAUUCCAUAGAUGGCUGUUUUAUCCUACAUCAAUUCAUCUUUUCUAAGUUGUGAUUAUCUUCCACAUUCUUUCUUUGCAAGUUGAAGUUUCAAGGAAAAGUUUGCUCUCCGAUUUUAGUAAACCUGCUUAGCCACCACACCACUUUGGCUAUUUUAUUAUAAUGAUGGGCAUAUAUGACAAAGUCACAGUGAGAUCACUGCCACUGCUAAAUGCUGUUCCUUUCUAAAGACUGAUGUAUAGACUUCACUCUAUAUUUAAAAAUACAAAAUAAAAAGCGAAUUUGGAGAAUUAAAAACAACAGCAACAACCAUAGCAGCAACAAAAUAACAAUCAGAUCCCCAGUUCUUCUCCUCACGAUAAGCAAAGAAGAACACUUCUCUCUCUCUCUUUUUUAAAUAGACUUUGAAUUGUAGAGCAAUUUUAAUUUCACAGCAAAACUGAGCAGAAAGUACAGAGAUUUCCCACCCCUGCCUCCACAUGUGCAUAGCCUUCCCAUUAACAACAUCCACCACCAGAGCGGUACAUUUGUUACAAUUGAUGAACCUACGUUGACACAUCGUAUCACCCAAAUUCCAAAGUUUACCUUAGUGUUUACUUUUGGUGUUGUACAUUCUAUGAGUUUUGGCAAAUGUGUAAUGACACAUAUCCGUUCUUACUGUAUUAUAUGGAAUACUUUCACUGACCCCUCUGAGCUCUGCCUAUUUAUCUCUCCCUCCCCCUAACUCCUGGCAACCACUGAAAGAAUCUUUUUACUGUCUCCAGUUUUGCCUUUUCCAGAAUGUUAUGUAGUUGGAAUCGCAUGCAGUGAAUGAGAAGUCCUGUUGCUCCACAUCCUCUCCCCCAUUUGGUGUCGUCAGUGUUCUUGAUUUUGGCCAUUCUAACGAGUGAACAAAGAUCACAAAAACAAUUCAUCUUAUCAAAACUGAAAUGAGGACACCUCAAAAUUUAUCAAGAGAUGGCCCCCCAAUACAUAGUUGUGGAUUCUAGUUGUGAGCGCCUCUGGUUGUGCUAUGUGGGACACCGCCUCAGCAUGGCCUGACCAACAGUGCCAAGUCCUCACCCAGGAUACGAACCAGCAAAAUCCUGGGCUGCCAGAGCACAGCAGACGAACUUAACCACUCGGCCACGGGGCAGGCCCCAUAAGUUCAUUUUUCAAGUGUUUAAUUUAUCAUAGUGAACAAUAUAAGAGCAAGUUUAAUUGAGACACAGUUGUGUUUAAAAUAUCUCCUUUGUGUUUAUGACAGAAAAAUAUCCACUAUAUACCAACGCAUCCAUUUUAAUUGCGUCUCCACAUAGAAACAGAAAAUAAAGAAGGCAGAAAACUCAAACCCAGCUCUGCUAUUUCUUAAGACUAAAGAAUAAUAACUGAUUCCCCCAAUGAUAACAACAGUGAAACAAGCCGGACUCCUGCCACACCAAGAAAACACAGCAGCAAAAGUCUGAGCUUUUUAGCAUCACUGAAAAAGAACUUACCGAGUACACUUGAUGUUCCUGUACGAUAACAAAAUGAAAAGGAAUUGAUCUGUGGAUACAUGUUUUCCAAGAAAAUGUCACCCGUUUUCAAAUGACAACAACUGGAUACUUAUACCUAUUAAAAGAUAUUAAACCAGGGUUCUUCAGGAAGCCUUCGUGAGUAGACAGUCGUCAGAUGUUCUGUUGAC